UGGCAAGAUCAUGGCAUAGCUGA
rnacentral:miRNA from 1 species